rnacentral:rRNA from 1 species
CCUACGGGAGGCAGCAGUGAGGAAUAUUGGUCAAUGGACGAGAGCCUGAACCAGCCAAGUCGCGUGAAGGAUGACUGCCCUAUGGGUUGUAAACCUCUUUUGUAUGGGAGUAAUAAGUUCCACGCGUGGGGUGUUGUAUGUACCAUAUGAAUAAGGAUCGGCUAACUCCGUGCCAGCAGCCGCGGUAAUACGGAGGACGCGAGCGUUAUCCGGAUUUAUUGGGUUUAAAGGGGGCGUAGGCGGUCUUUUAAGUUAGUGGUAAAAUUUUGGGGCUAAACCUCACAACGCCGUUGAAACUGGAGGUCUAGAGUACAGACGAGGUAGGCGGAAUUAGUGGUGUAGCGGUGAAAUGCAUAGAUAUAACGUAGAACUCCGAUUGCGAAGGCAGCUUACCGGACUGCGACUGACACUGAGGCACGAAAGUGUGGGUAUCGAACAGGAUUAGAUACCCUUGUAGUC